rnacentral:misc_RNA from 1 species
AAAAAUGUGGGCUACUUCUCUCCUGGAGCUGUCUGAAGGAAGUCCUUCUAUGUAGAGGGUGUUAGAAGCAUCAGGAGGGAGAGAUAGCGUUUCACGAGGCCUCGGCAUAGGUUCAACUGGCAGUUGGCCACUAAAUACCAUAGCUCUUCCAUUUGGUGCUAGCUCUGGCCCACGAGCUGAUGGAAGCGGAUCACGAACAGGAAGGGUAGGUAUACCACCACCACCUGCUCUAACUAAUCCAACACCCUUGUAGUUGUUAUUAGCUUCUCCGACUGGAAGAGAAGAAAGUUGCGAACUUUGGAGAUAACG